AACGAACGCUGGCGGCGUGCUUAACACAUGCAAGUCGAACGCGAACGGGUUCUUCGGGACCUUAGUAGAGUGGCGCACGGGUGAGUAACGCGUAAGUUAUCUACCUCGGCAUCUGGAAUAACUCACCGAAAGGUGUGCUAAUACCGGAUACGUUGAGUAAUCAAGAAAGGUGGCCUCUGAGUAUGCUACCGUGCUGAGAUGAGCUUGCGUACCAUUAGCUAGUUGGUGGGGUAAUGGCCUACCAAGGCGACGAUGGUUAGCGGGUCUGAGAGGAUGAUCCGCCACACUGGAACUGGAACACGGACCAGACUCCUACGGGAGGCAGCAGUGAGGAAUAUUGCGCAAUGGGGGCAACCCUGACGCAGCGACGCCGCGUGGAUGAUGAAGGCCUUCGGGUCGUAAAAUCCUGUCAGGUGGAAAGAAAUGUAUAUGUGCUAAUACCAUGUAUACUUGACGGUACCACCGAAGGAAGCACCGGCUAACUCCGUGCCAGCCGCCGCCGUAA
rnacentral:rRNA from 1 species